GAUGAACGCUGACAGAAUGCUUAACACAUGCAAGUCAACUGUGGCGGACGGGUGAGUAACGCGUAAAGAACUUGCCUCACAGAUAGGAACAACCUUUGGAAACGAAUGCUAAUACCUGAUACUGUGAGAGAGCUUUGCGUCCCAUUAGCUUGUUGGAGAGGUAACGGCUCACUAAGGCGAUGAUGGGUAGCCGGCCUGAGAGGGUGAUCGGCCACAAGGGGAACGAGACACGGCCGUUAGUAAUACGGCAGGAAGGAGGGGAGACUAAUCGACAAAGGACCAAAGUCGGAUCAGGCAAUUCGGUGUGAACGAUGAGGUUUUGGGAAUGAAAAGUGCUUGCAGUUGAGAAGCGGUACCAACAGAGGAAGGGACGGCUAAAUACGUGCCAGCAGCCGCGGUAAUAC
rnacentral:rRNA from 1 species